UGUGCUCUUCAACCGCGAGUUCAUUUUAGGGGGAAAAAGCCUACUCUCACUAUCUCUCUCGCAGUUCUCAACCCUAACCCCCGCACAUUUUUCAUCUUCUCCUUUCUCCAAAUCUUCUCAAUUCUUAUCUAGGUACAAAACUGACCCAAUCUCCAUCAAAAGCAUCAAUCUACUCCAUUCUAAAUCGUCUUCUAGUUUCAGUAUUUUUUUCAUUUUUCGGAGCAGAUCUCACUGAAAAUUCCGAAAAAUGACCAACGGGAUCGUUAAGACGGUGUCGAGAUCGGCUUAGUUAAUUAUGGGAAAAUAAUUGCAGAUCUAGGAAGAUGGUGAUAACUCGCUACUUUUGUAUUUCUUCCUGUUUGCAGCUGAAUAAACCCUCAAUCUCUCACCAUUUCUCAACCCUCUUUGAUUUCUUGCUCCAACCUUCAAGAUCGACGAGUUACUUGCUCGAAUAAUGAAUUUCAGGUACUACCAUAUGAUCAUUUGAUGCAAGAGACAGAUGUUACAAAUGUGUAUGAACUGUAAGAUUUUCUUAUCAAUGAGGGCAUGUAUGCGGUAUGUAUUCUGGUAGUUUUUUUCAUCUUCAUAAAACCUAAUUGAGUUAACUUAGAUUGACGUGUUCUCAAUUUUAGUAGUGAAUCUGGUUAUAUUAUGUAAAUAUUCUCUUUUUUUCAUGUUAUGUGUCCUUUUCUUUACUUCUCGUGAGGUGUCAUUCAUAUUUCUAAAGUUCAUAUUUUGACUCCAUGGCUAUGUUUCAUAUAACUCUAUUCUAAUUCUAGUAGUCAUGUAAUUAUUCGUUUAUUGUGAAUCAUUUAAAUGGAUGUCAUGUAGAGUGUCUUUGCGGGUCCCAUAUCCAUCUGAAACUUGUUGUAGCUUCGCCUAUUUGUUGGUUCAGGUCUUUAUUCUAACAUUUAAAGAUUCAGCAAUAUAAUAAGUUUAAUUUUGGCAAAGAUGGGAACGCAGCACAAUCACUAUAACUUUUGUAUACUAUGCCCGAUCGGGUUGUGGCCUAUCUCCUCCUUAUGUCACGAGGAAUGGUUGUUUCUGUUUGUUUUACUAUUCCCAGUUUAAGAAUAUACUUUUAGCCCAACUAGGUUAAGAUUGUCCUGGAACAUUCGCCAUCGUCUCCUUGCUCACCCCAAUAUUGCACCAAGACAACUUCAUUUAUAAGUCUUGUAACAUUACAUCAUUACCUGAUUUAUAUGAGCUUUUUGGCACGUAUUUGAACUGAAACUAUUUGGUCCUUCUGUGCACUUUGCAAGGAAUUGAUUAGUUCCUCACCAGACCACUGCACCGAUAUCCCUCUUUUUAGGGGGGUUUUCGAGAUAAUUAUACAGCCAAUUCUAUGCUAUUAAUAAAGAACGAGGAAUUGAAAUUGAUCGUUCAACGUGAUAAAGAGCGGCAUGAGAAUGAAGGCCAUGACACUUGCGCUAUAAGCUACUACCACCAUUAGAUCCUAGUUUUUCUAGGAUUUAGUUCUUCAGUUUUGCAGAUACAAUUUGUAUUUUUUAUUAUGUUUUGGACUAUUUAGAUAGUAACAUAUUAGUAACAUUAUCAUGUACUAUGGAUUUAACGUACUACAUACUUCUAGAUUUUUGAAAGUAUUUCUAAUGUUACGUUAAUCAAAGACCAAUUAUGAAAAAUUCAGGUUAAUUUCA